ACAUCUUCCGGAUGACGAAGAUAACUUCCGGAAGACCAUGACAUCAUCCGGAAGAUGAAGACGUCUUCCGGAAGAUGAAGACGUCUUCCGGAAGAUAAAGACGUCUUCCGGAAGAUGAAUAGCAGCUGCAAUGGAUUCCGACCCGGGGCGUCUCAGCCAAUGGGAGUUCCGCGUCUCCUGCCAGGAGCUCAUUCGACACUCUGACGUCAUCGGCGACGGGUGGGCGUGGCGAGGGGGUGAUGAAGAAGGGUUCCUGGCCAAGACAAGGUGGGAGGAGGUCAAUUCGUGUGAUGAGGUGAGACCAGUUGUG